rnacentral:lncRNA from 1 species
UUCCUUCUCUCCUUAGACCUCUACGAGCAUAAGUUCAUCAACUGUCGGUUUAUCAACUCCACCUUUCUGGAGCAGAAGGAGGGCUGCCACAUGGACUUGGAGCAAGAUAAUGACUUCCUGAUUUACCUCGUCAGCUUCCUGGGCAGCCUGUCUGUCAUACCCGGAAACAUCAUUUCUGCCCUACUCAUGGAUAGAAUCGGAAGGCUCAAGAUGAUUGGUGGCUCCAUGUUAAUCUUUGCAGUCUGCUGCUUCUUCCUAUUUUUUGGCAACAGCGAGUUUGCGAUGAUCGGCUGGCAGUGCCUGUUCUGUGGGACAAGCAUUGCAACCUGGAAUGCUCUGGAUGUGAUCACAGUGGAGCUGUAUCCCACCAACCAGAGAGCAACAGCCUUCGGCAUUCUCAAUGGGUUAUGCAAAUUUGGCGCCAUCCUGGGAAAUACCAUAUUUGCUUCUUUUGUUGGGAUAACCAAAGUGGUCCCCAUCCUUCUGGCUGCUGCUUCUCUGGUUGGGGGUGGCCUGAUUGCCCUUCGACUGCCAGAGACUCGAGAACAGGUCCUGAUGUGAACCAUCUAUGGGAAAAGGAAAGGUCAAGAGAAUCUUGUCCAGGACACUAAAAUGCAUCCACACUUCCUGCCUAUCAUGGUCCAGGGGGCACCUCGGAUAACACGCGAGGAGAAGUUGACUUUGUGACCCCUAGUUUAGGACCCACUUCAGCUGUCAAUAUGUUUGUAACUCAGGUGACUGUUUUGGGGGUGCCCUGAGCCACCCCUAGAAUCACAGAGCUGCGUGUUUAACUUCAGGUCUUCCCAGUCCAAGGCAGGGAGAGGAUUCUCCAGUGAGUGCACACACUAUGCAAGGAGUAAGCAUUUCUCUAAGUCAAGUGCAAGGACUUACUUGCAUUUCAAAAGGAAUUAGAGGGUAAGAAAUACCCAAGCUCCUCCAUAAAGCUCCUUGGAGCCCAACAACUUAACAAAUCAACUUGGCUGGAAGUUAGAGUCAUUAUAUGAAUAUUGGGCUUGAAGUACAGGAUACAUAUAUUUUUGCAUUUAAAAGUAUCACCUAUCAUAUUUUCCACUCGAAUACUGGCAUGGUACCAUUGAGAAUACUCUGAUCUGGAAAGCCAAAUAUUUGAGCAACAUCUAUAGAAAUCUACUUUUCUCCUAAGUCUCCUAGGCUUUCCAUGAUAAUUAGGUGAUACAUUUAAGAAGGAUAUUUAUUUCUGUUUUGCUCUAUUCAAAGAAAUUCAAUGGGUUAGGUAUUC